AAAUGCGAUAAUUAAUGUGAAUUGCAGAAUUCAGUGAAUCAUCGAGUCUUUGAACGCACAUUGCGCCCCCUGGUAUUCCGGGGGGCAUGCCUGUCCGAGCGUCAUUGCUGCCCUCAAGCACGACUUGUGUGUUGGGCUUCCGUCCCUGGCAACGGGGACGGGCCCAAAAGGCAGUGGCGGCACCAUGUCUGGUCCUCGAGCGUAUGGGGCUUUGUCACCCGCUCCCGUAGGUCCAGCUGGCAGCUAGCCUCGCAACCAAUCUUUUUAACCAGGUUGACCUCGGAUCAGGUAGGGAUACCCGCUGAACUUAAGC
rnacentral:misc_RNA from 1 species